CCAGUUCUUGAAGUGGAACAGGAUGUUGAGAAAGAGCUGCUGCACUCAGGGAGUGACUGGGCAUGCAUGGAGGACAAGAGAGUUUGCAGAGAGAAAGGCUUCAACUCUCUAAAGAUUGGUCAAAGAUGGUGGCUGAUCUGAGGCAUAAUCACCGAGGACAAAAAGAGACAGAUUGUGCUUUGCAUACAUCUUUCCAAGACAGGUCUUUCUGAUUUGAGAUGAACUUCCAGAGAAUUCCAGGCCUUCAAUCUCUCGGGACGCAUGUCCAAAUUGUGGCUCCCACAGAAGCCAGUUCAACCUGGUCCUUGGCACUUCCCAUGCCUGCUAGCCCCAGCACUCUUGGCCUGGGGUGAUGGUGAAUCCUCGGUUGUCUUGGCUUCCAAGAGCAGACUCUCAGCCUCUCAAUC